rnacentral:lncRNA from 1 species
UUGAAGUCGGGGAUGAAGUCUGGCUCUCGUAGGAGUCCGGAUGAAGUCUUCCUGUAGUCGAAGUCCGGGAUGAAGUCCGGCUCCCGUAGGAGUCCGGACGAAGUCUUCCUGCAGUUGAAGUCAGAAAUGAAGUCCGACUCCCGUAGGAGUCCGGACGAAGUCUUCCUGCAGUUGAAGUCGGGGAUGGAGUUCGGAUCCCUUAGGAGUCCAGACGAAG